AGAACGAACGCUGGCGGCAUGCCUAACACAUGCAAGUCGAACGAACCCUCCGGGGUUAGUGGCGCACGGGUGCGUAACGCGUGGGAAUCUGCCCUUAGGUACGGAAUAACUCAGCGAAAGUUGUGCUAAUACCGUAUGAUGUCUUCGGACCAAAGAUUUAUCGCCUAGGGAUGAGCCCGCGUUGGAUUAGCUAGUUGGUGAGGUAAAGGCUCACCAAGGCGACGAUCCAUAGCUGGUCUGAGAGGAUGAUCAGCCACACUGGGACUGAGACACGGCCCAGACUCCUACGGGAGCAGCAGUGGGGAAUAUUGGACAAUGGGCGCAAGCCUGAUCCAGCAAUGCCGCGUGAGUGAUGAAGGCUUAGGGUUAGUAAAGCUUCGUUUUACCGGGAAGAUAAUGACUGUACGGAGAAAUAACGCCCGGCUAACCUCCGUCGCCGAGCAGCCGGAC
rnacentral:rRNA from 1 species